rnacentral:rRNA from 1 species
GAUGAACGCUGGCGGCGUGCCUAAUACAUGCAAGUCGAGCGAACAGACGAGGAGCUUGCUCUUCUGACGUUAGCGGCGGACGGGUGAGUAACACGUGGAUAACCUACCUAUCAGACUGGGAUAACUUCGGGAAACCGGAGCUAAUACCGGAUAAUAUAUCGAACCGCAUGGUUCAAUAGUGAAAGACGGUUUUGCUGUCACUUAUAGAUGGAUCCGGCCGGCAUUAGCUAGUUGGUAAGGUAACGGCUUAACAAGGCCACGAAUGGUUGCCGACCUGAGAGGGGGAACGGCCAACCUGGAACUGAGAAAAGGGCCAGACUCCUAAGGGGAGCAACAGUAGGGAAACCUUCGGAAUGGGAGGAAGCCUGACGGAGGAAAGGCGGGGGAGGGAUGAAGGUCUUCGGAUCGGAAAACCCUGUUAGUAGGGGAGAACAAAUGUGUAAGUAACUAUGCACGUCUUGAAGGUAAUUAAUCAAAAAGCCACGGCUAACUACGUG